GGAUGUAUAGCANUAGCUACUUGCAACAUUGUAGAUAUGAUGCAAGAUCAACGUUNUUGAAUAAAAUUCUAGGUGAUGAUGACAAUAUCUGCCUAUGUGUCUUGACCAAAUUACGUGCCAGCAGUCGCGGUAAUACGUAAAAGACUAGUGUUAUUCAUGUUUAAUCGGUUUAAAGGGUACCUAGACGGUAGAUCAAGCUUUCAAAUAAAAAAAAAAAAAAAAAAGGACUAWUUUACUAGAGUUACUUAUGAGGGGGUAGWAAAGUACKGGKGGUGWAGAGAURAAAUUCUGUCAUACCUCUUUUCAAAAAAAAACAUAUGGCACAGGUWUAGGCGAAGGCCUCCCCUUAUGUGAUAACUGACGUUGAGGGACRAAGGCGACGUGAAACAAACAGGAUUAGAUCCCCUAGUAGUUGUAGCAAAAAAUGAUGAAUGUCAUAGAUUAGAUGUAUAAGUUUAUUCUAUAAAUGAAAGUGUAAGCAUUCCCCCUCAAGAGUAAUUUGGCAACWUUGGAACUGAAAUCAUUAGACCGUUUCUGAAACCAGUAGUGAAGUAUGUUGUUUAAUUUGAUGAUCCGCAAAAAACCUUCCCACAAUUUGAAUAUAUAUAUAAUUUAUUGUUUUUUCAGAAAUAAAAAGGCAAUAAAAUAUUUUUACAAGCGUUGCACGGCUGUCUUCAGUUAAUGUCGGGA
rnacentral:rRNA from 1 species